CCUCUGUCAUCUCUUCCUCGAGUUCUCGCUGAAUAUCCCGCCGUUCUUCUUCAAAUAGAUCUUCAAGCGUGAUGACGAUGACAUUGUCGGGGUCGACGGUGCUCCUGUCCUUGGGACCAUUGCCAUCCAUUGUGUGCUUCUUUUUUCUCAUCCCAGUGGAGUCGCCAAUUGUGUUGCCGCACGAAAUUGAUUCGCGCAGCAACACAAUAACUGCCGUACUUUCGUGACGAUGAAUGAUUGCUUUUCGAGCAAAGCAACAAAGGUUGACCAAGCUCUAGAGCUGCUAGGACUCGGCAAGUACUACAAGCUACU
rnacentral:lncRNA from 1 species